UAAUCCUGUGGAUGGACUGCAGCGAGUCCUUUUGCAGUUAUCCAUCAAAAAGAUAUGCAGACAUAAUGGAAAUGGCAUUUACAUUGUAGAGCUUGGACGAAGUUCACACAGGCUCUGCGCAGGAAUUCAUCAAGGACAUAACUGCUGGGAUUACGCUUGUGGAUGACCAAACUGAGCACCAUCAGUCUGCAGUGAUGUGAUCCAGCCAUCCAGUGACAUUAAGGAUGUUGAGAAAGAAAUUGAAGAGGGCAUUCUGAUUGUAACUGAGGAACAUCAAUGUGAUGUGCUUCCCAAGGAAUAACCAACAUUGGUCUCAUUUGGACAUCCUGUCAUCACUGACAUCUCCCAUGUCCCCAAGGUAUUUGGACUCCUAAUGGGUCUGUAUGCAGUGAACAUCCACCACCUCCAGCGCAUUAAAUACACCAUUGAGGCUCUGCAAAAACUUGUGAAGACCAGCUGCUCCCACCGUGUGCUCGCUACAGCGGCAGCAACUGUAGGUGUGGUGGAGUGAAUGUCCAGUGCUCUCUCCACCCUCAACACCACAAAUAAGGUGUCCUUGAGCAAGGCACAACUUCUCCCCGGGUACUGCAGCAUAAAUGGCUGCCCACUGCUCUGGGUGUGUGUUCACGGUGUGUGUUCACUGCUGUGUGUGUGCACUUUAGAUGGGUUAAAUGAAGAGCACAAAUGUAUGUCAUGUCACUUUCACUUUUCAGUGUUCAUGAUGUGUCCAUCGGCUCCACCGCACUCUUUCUUAAAAAGUAGUGUUUUUUUUUUUUUUAUAAGGAAAGGUUCUUUUGUGCCUUUCACUAUAUAGAAUGUACAUUAAAGUUUACAUGUCGUGACUUGGAAUAUGCAUGUUCUCAUGUAAACAAAUGUUGUUUCCCCUCUCAUUUUCUUAAACAGUAUGUACACAUUUUCAGUAUGUAGCAUUAUGAUGGGGGACGAGUUUGGAAACUUUCAAGAUCCUUCUGAUGUUAACACUUCUGUCUGGUCAUGUUGUGCUAUGAAAUUUAGAAUCUGACUUUAGAUCUUUGUGCUUCCAUGUGCAUUCAUUCCAUUUAUAUCUUAUUAUACAGAAAUACAGUACACUCAUUUUUUGUAACUAAUUGUGAUGUUAUAUACAUAUAUCUUGGUUUCUCAUUUUGACCAUGACUUGCAUUAUGGUGGGGGGAGUGCAUGUGAACUUGUGCAGGGUUAAUAUGCAGAGUUCAACCUUCUGAUUUUCAUAUUGAGUUAUGAAAUUAAAAACAAUCCCUGUGGUUUUGAUCUGAUGAAUUGAAAUGCAACUAUUUGUUUCUCAAUCCCAUGCCAAUGUUAUUUAUUAUACAUCACACUUUCAAGUGUUGGUUCAGAUCUUUA